CCGAUGUCCAAAAAGCCACCAGUUCUGUAUGUGUGUGAUCAUGUUUUAAUACAUGGUGGAACCUCCAUACAGUUAUCCCACUUAAACAAUAUAUAUUUUUUUCACAACAACUAGGAAUGAAAUAGGAGAAACAAAAUAAAUUACUAUUGUUCUAAAGUGCUUUGUUUAAUACAGGUUUCGGAAGAGUUGUCUUGCUGUGUUAAGGUUGCAAGUGGCCUCUGAUAAGGAAGGGACAGCAAACUGUAGACAUAUGUUAUUAAGUUGCCCUCACUUGUCAGGUCUUGAAAACACACUUAUUUUAUUGCAGAUGCCUCUAUUAUACCACGUUACAAAUUGACUAAGCAUACUUAUUAUUAUCCUAUUUUAUUUUAGUUAUUUCACAUUGCGCAGCCUAUGCAAACAAUGUCUAGGUCCCAACUUCAGC